rnacentral:lncRNA from 1 species
GUUGUGUCUACUUUUUUCUCUUAUUAUUAUUUUUUUUUUACUAGUAUUGUAUACAUGUAUAUAUGUAUAUGAAGCCUCAGGGAAGACUGAGACCGACGUUGAAUUUAGGUCGCCGACGUUGCGACCAAUUUUCAACCAAAUAUCCACGUCUGUACAACAUCGGGUGCCUGCUGGGUGUGUUAUAGUAGUCUCAGGGGAAGAUUAGUAAUUGUAACUAACUGUGUUUACUUUGACCUCUUUAAAUAAAGAAUUUAUUAUUAUUAUUAUUAUAAUUAUUAUUAUUCUCAAAGCCAACAUUGGAAACUCAUUUAUUAUUAGGUUGGAAACUCAUCUAUUAUCCCUUGAC